CCUGCAGUCGACGGCAGCACGGGGGCAACCCUGGUGGCGAGUGGCGAACGGGUGAGUAAUACAUCGGAACGUGUCCUAUCGUGGGGGAUAACUAGUCGAAAGAUUAGCUAAUACCGCAUGAGAUCGAGAGAUGAAAGCAGGGGACCGCAAGGCCUUGCGCGAUUGGAGCGGCCGAUGUCGGAUUAGCUAGUUGGCGGGGUAAAAGCCCACCAAGGCGACGAUCCGUAGCUGGUUUGAGAGAACGACCAGCCACACUGGGACUGAGACACGGCCCAGACUCCUACGGGAGGCAGCAGUGGGGAAUUUUGGACAAUGGGGGCAACCCUGAUCCAGCCAUGCCGCGUGUGUGAAGAAGGCCUUCGGGUUGUAAAGCACUUUCGGACGGAACGAAAUCGCGCGGGUGAAUAUCCCGCGUGGAUGACGGUACUGUAAGAAGAAGCACCGGCUAACUACGUGCCAGCAGCCGCGGUAAUACGUAGGGUGCGAGCGUUAAUCGGAAUUACUGGGCGUAAAGCGUGCGCAGGCGGCUUCGCAAGUCAGACGUGAAAGCCCCGGGCUUAACCUGGGAAUGGCGUUUGAAACUACGGAGCUGGAGUAUGGCAGAGGGGGGUGGAAUUCCACGUGUAGCGGUGAAAUGCGUAGAUAUGUGGAGGAACACCGAUGGCGAAGGCAGCCCCCUGGGCCAAUACUGACGCUCAUGCACGUAAGCGUGGGGAGCAAACAGGAUUANAUACCCUGGUAGUCCACGCCCUAAACUAUGUCAACUANUUGUUGGGGGAGUUAAAUCCCUUAGUAACGCAGCUAACGCGUGAAGUUGACCGCCUGGGGAGUACGGUCGCAAGAUUAAAACU
rnacentral:rRNA from 1 species